rnacentral:lncRNA from 1 species
GUCAAUUUUAGCAUUUAAUUGAAAGUUUUUUAUUUUUUAUUUUGUAAAUCAAUUUUGUGUGGACAUUUGAAUUUAAGUAAUGUUAGAGAUACUAAAUUUUUUAAAUUAAAUGACAAAUCAAAUGACGUGUCACCAAUAAGAAACAAGUACGUUAACCAGCACUUAAUUAACAAUUCAAUUAUGUACAAUCACAUCAUUUAGUUUGCAAAUUAAAUUUAAAAAUUUUGAUCUCCCAUAUCAUCCUUUGAAUUUAGAAUCUCCUUUAACCCUGAAAAGAAAGAUAAUGUUUGGCUAAUAGUUUAUUUGUCUAUUAUUGGUCAAACAAACAAAUUCUAAGUAACGUGGCAUGUAUAUGUUACUUGUCAUGUUAGAUGUUACUUGUCACGUUAAAUGGUACACUAAUAUAAUACAAAAUAUUUAUGUAGCAUUUUUCAUACAAUAAAAUGAAUCCAAGUCAAACACUAAUGAUUUGAGCAAGUUUACUUUUUCUAGGUUUCAUAUUGAAUUAUUAGGUAUCGUUUGGUAUGCAGA